AUGAACGCUGGCGGCGUGCUUAACACAUGCAAGUCGAACGGAAAGGCCCAAGCUUGCUUGGGUACUCGAGUGGCGAACGGGUGAGUAACACGUGGGUGAUCUGCCCUGCACUUCGGGAUAAGCCUGGGAAACUGGGUCUAAUACCGGAUAGGACCACUUCUUGGAUGUUGUGGUGGAAAGUUUUUUCGGUGUGGGAUGAGCUCGCGGCCUAUCAGCUUGUUGGUGGGGUAAUGGCCUACCAAGGCGUCGACGGGUAGCCGGCCUGAGAGGGUGUACGGCCACAUUGGGACUGAGAUACGGCCCAGACUCCUACGGGAGGCAGCAGUGGGGAAUAUUGCACAAUGGGCGCAAGCCUGAUGCAGCGACGCCGCGUGGGGGAUGACGGCCUUCGGGUUGGAAACUCCUUUCGCUAGGGACGAAGCGUUUUGUGACGGUACCUGGAGAAGAAGCACCGGCUAACUACGUG
rnacentral:rRNA from 1 species